CAAAAUAAGGUUUAUACAACUCCAAGAAUAGAAAUCAAAAUAUAAAACCCUUGGCCCUUUAUUAGGGCUGCAUCCAGCCCUGUGAGGAGAUCAGCCUUCCAUGGAGUCGUGGGCGACAGCAGCAGCGAUAUAGAAGGCCUUCAUCACGACUGGGUUCUCCCUCUUUCCUCCCGUCGGCUUCCUCUCAGCACAUCAUCAUCUUUUAUAUGUGGGAAGUUAUUCCCAAAAUAGCCAAACCUCUCUCCCUCCUCUGUUUCCUGUGGGACUUCCACCCGAGAAGAGAUAUGUGGAACCCCUCCCGGUGGGGAAUGAGGAAUGGAAGAGAAUGCCUCUAGCCUUCAUCAUCGACUCCCUUUUAUAGCCUUCUCUAUCUUCUGUUAGCAUCCGGAGGAUAAACUUCCCGAGUGAAAGGAUGAGGAUGGAGGAACGGCUUCUGUUUCAUGGCAGCGGGCGACGCGUAGAAGAUUUGAUUCGAGCGAAGAGGCAGAUGGUUGGGGAGCUUGAUCCGCGGACUGUUGCAGUUCUGAUCCGUUGAAGGGAUUUUGCUGGGAUGAAUCAAGGGGAGUUUGGAUGAAGCUCACGGCUGAAAACGGAUUCUGUUUUGAGGAUGCUGGGAUGAUUCGGAUGAAGAUAAAAUGAACUGGAAACAGGGGAUAGCGGGGAUGCAUGAUUGAAUGGAUCCUGAGUUUGGUUGGCGAUGAAGACGGGAUGCUACACGUAACAGGGGAUUUGAGCUCAUCCGUGGGUGCUGGAACUGGGUGCUUGAAUGAUAUUCACGGUUGAGAGGGGAUAAGAAUGAAUCGUGGAGAGGACGCAUGAGGUGCUGGGAGCUGGAAUUCCGUUCGUAGGAUAUUCGGAAGGAUGCGGAUGAGAUCCUGGUUCUGUUUCCGUGGCUGGGGUUGUUUGGAUGAAGAUGGAUCACAACGGGAUAAGAUUUGGAUUGGUUCCGAAACAGGGGAAGUAAAGUUCGAUGACGACGUUGGGAUCAUUUGGUUGUGCUGCCAUUGGCUGGAAAUCCGGGAGAUGGGCAUGAGAUAAGGAUGAAGUCGGAACAGAUUGAACGUGAAACAGGGGAUUCGGAGAGGAGCAUGGGACGUUGGGGUUAAUCCAAAAGAAGGUUAGCUUGGUUCGGAAGAGGAGAACGUGGCUGGGGGUUUGGAUGAAAUGGGAUGAACGGCUCUAAUCCUGGUCCGAAUAGCAUGCACACAGGGGAGGUGAGUUAGGAUUCUUAUCCGUGGGAGAUGAUGAUAUUGAAUAUUUAAAUGGAAUUGAUAUGGAAAAAAAUGACUAGUGGAUGGCUGGGAAGUGGGAGAAUCACGUGAAGGGGAAUGAUCCAUGGAUGCUCUGUUCUUUGUUUCAAUGCAUGGGAAAAACAAUGGGUUUGAGAGGCGUGGAGUUGGGUGAUGCAUGAUGAAUGGCAGAGAUGGGAUGAGGCUUUGAGAUCCGUGCAACUAAGAUGGUAUGCUUUGAGAUUUGAGAAAUAAAUAAUUGAAGGGAUUUUAUUGUUUUUGAGAUUAAAAUUAGAUCAUGUGGAAAAAGAGUUGGAACGAGUGGGGAGAAAUUUAGGUGAACUUAGAAAGCACUGGAUUUUGGAGAAGAGUUCUUGAAGUCGACUCCGGAGAAUGUGAAAUUUUAAAAUGAUGUAGUGUCCGUUUAGGCUUUACCUAGUUGAGCUCGACUCGACCUGCAUGCAUUAAGCUUAAUCAAUAAAUAAUCAAAUCAAACUUGAAUUACCUUGGAUAAUUUAUUGAAAUGCAAUCAUGAAGGUAAUACAAUUUUUAGUUAAAUUUACAAAAUAUGUGAAUUAAAAUAAUGAUAAGUGCUAUAAAUAAGAUAUUAAUUUAUGCAUUAUUUAGCACUU
rnacentral:lncRNA from 1 species